rnacentral:lncRNA from 1 species
UUUCAAAAGUAAUGCUUUUAUGUAUUAUUCACAUUUAUGCAAUCUUGUAUUAGAUCACAAAUGUAGUUUUAAAGUGUGUGUAGUAUUUGAGCUAAGCUUUUUUAUUACCUGAUAAAUUAGAAUAUUACUACGUCUUAAAAGGCAAGAAAAAAAUGGUUAGUUUAUUAUAUGAAUGAAAAGAGAAAUAAAUAUCUUGAGCUAUUUAUUUUUAUUUUAUUGUAAGAACAUAACAUGAGAUCUACUGUCUUGAUUUUUAAGUUAACACAGUAUUAUUAACUAUAGGCAACAUGUUGUAUAGCAGAUCUCUAGAACUUAUUGACUUUGCAUUACUGAAAUGUCACACUUAUGGAUGAGCAACUUUCCAUUCUCCUCUUAAUAUGGUUUGAAUUUGUAUCCCAACCCAAAUCUCAUGUGGAAUCUCUAAUUCCCAGUGUUGGAGGACAAGCCUGCUGGGAGGUGAUUGGAUCAUGGGGACAGAUUUCCCCCUUGCUGUUCUUGUGAUAGUGCAUGAGUUCUUAUGAGUUCUUGUUAUUUAAAACUGUUAGGCAGCUCCCCCUUCUCUCUCUCUCCCUCUCCUGCCACAGCCAUGUAGAACACGCCUACUUCCCUUUCACCAUUCACCAUGAAUGUAAGUUUCCUGGGGCCUCCUCAGCCAUGCUUCCUGUACAGCCUGCAGAACAGUAAGCCUGUUAAACCUUUUUUAUAUAUAUUACCCAAUCUCAGGUAUUUCUAUAUAGCAAUGCGAGAAUUGACUAAUACAAAAAAUUGGUACCUAGGAGUGAAGCAUUGCUAUAAAAAUAGCUGAAAAUAUGGAAGCCACUUUGGAACUGGGUAAUGGACAGAGGAUAGAAUAGUUUGGUAGACUUGGAGGAAGACAGGAAGAUGAGGGAAAGUUUUGGACUUCCUAGAGACUUGUUGAUUGGUUGUGACCAAAAUAUUCAUAGUGAAAUGGAAAUAUUGAUAGUGAAGUCCAGGCUGAGGAGAUCUCAGACAGCGAUGAAGAACAUAUUGGGGACUGCAGUAAAAGUCACUCUUGCUACGCUUUAGAAAAGAGACUGGUGGCAUUGUGCCCCUGCUCUAGGGAUCUAUGGAACUUUGAACUUGAGAGAGAUGAUUUAGGGCAUCUGGUAGAAGAAAUUUCUAAGCAGGAAGGCAUUCAAGAUGUGGUCUGGCUGCUUGUAACAGCAUAUGCUCAUAUGCAUGAGCAAAGAGAUUAUCUGAAACUGAUAGUUAUAUUUAAAAUGCAAAGACAUCAUAAAAGUUUGGAAAAUGUGCAUCCUGACCAUGUGAGAAAAAAAAAAAAAAUCUGUGGAGGAAUUCAAGCAGGCCUGCAAAAAUUUGCGUAAGUAAAGAGGAGUCAAAUGUUAAUAGCUAAGACAAUGGGAAAAAUGCCUCAAAGGUAUUUCAGACAUCUUUACAGCAACUACUCCUAUCACAGUCCCAGAGGCCUAGGAGGGAAGAAUGAUUUCCUGGGCUUGGCCCAGGGCCUGCUGCCCUUCACAACACUGGGACACUUCUGCUUGUGUUCCAGCUGUUCCAAUUGCAGCCACUACUAAAAGGGCUCCAGAUAUGUCUCAGGCUGCUGGUCCAAAGGGUGCAAGCUGUAAGCCUUGACAGUUUCCAUGUAGUGUUAAGCCUGCAGGUGUGCAGAGGGUAAGAACUGAGGCUUGGGUGCCUCUGCCUAGAUUUCAAAGGAUGUAUGGAAAGGUCUGGAUGUUGAGCAAGAUGUCUGCUGCAGGAGUGGAGCCCUCAUGGAGAACCUCUACUAGGACAGUGCAGAAGGGAAAUGUGGGGUUGGAGCCCAGACACAGAGUCUCCUCUGGGGUGCUGUCUAGUGGAGCUAUGAAAAGAGGGCCACCAUUUUCCAGACCCUAGAAUGGUAGAUCCACUGACAGCUUACACCUGGAAAAGCCACAGGUGCUCAAUACCAGACUGUGAAAGCAGCUGUGGGGCUGUUCCCUGCAGAGCCACAGGGGUAGAGCUUCUCAAGGUCUUGGAAGCCCACCCCUUGCAUCAGUGUUGAUUGAAUGUGAGAUAUAAAGUCAAAGGAGACUAUUUUGGUGCUUUAAGAUUUAAUGACUACCCUCCUGGGUUUUGGACUUGAAUAGGGCCUGUAGACACUGUCUUUUGGCCAGUUAAUACCUCUUCAAAAGGGAGUAUUUACACAUUACCUAUAUCCCUAUAGUAUCUUAGAAGUAACUAACUUGUUUUAGAUUUUACAGGCUACUAAGCAAAAGAGAAUUACCUUGUCUCAAAUGAGUUUUUGGACAGUGGACUUUUUUGUUAAUGCUGAAAUGAGUUAAGUCAUGGGGGACUGUUGAGAAGGGGUGAUUGUAUUUUGCAAUGUGAGAAGGAUAUAAGAUUUGGGAGGGGUGGUAGGGGAAUUAUACCGUUUGGAAUGAUAUGAGAUUUGGGAGAAGUGGUGGAGAAAUUGUAUGGUUUAGAUUUGUGUCCCUGCCCAAAUCUUAUGUUGAAUUGUAAUUCCCAGUGCUGGAGGAGGGGCCUGGUGGGAGGCGGUUGGAUCAUGGGGGCAGAUUUCCUUCUUGCUGUUCUUGGAAGAUCUGGUUGUUUAAAAGUGUAUAGUACCUCCCGCUUCUCUCUCUUACCCUUGCUCUGGUUGUUUAAAAGUGUAUAGUACCUCCCCCUUCUCUCUCUUACUCUUACUCUUACUCUUGCUCUGGCCAGCAAGAAAGCUUCCCCAGCAAUGCUUUCUGUACAGCUUGAGGAACCACUAGCUAAUUAAACCUUUUUUCUUUAUAAAUUACCCAGUCUCUGGUAUUUCUUUAUAGCAGUGCAAGAACAGACUACACCCUCCUCUGUGGCCCUGGCAACUGCUAUUGUAAUCUCUGUGUCUAUGAGCUUGACUAUAUUAGAUACUUCAUAUACAUUAAUAAUACAGUAUUUGUUCUUCUGUGACUGACUUAUUUCACUUAGCCUGAUGUCCUUGAGUUUCAUCUAUGUUGCCCAAUAUUGCAGAAUAUUCUUUUUUUUUAAAAUUGGAUAUUCCAUUCCAAAGAAGACGAACAAAUGGUCAAGAGCCAUGAAAGUGGACAAUGGGAAUUCCAGCUUUGGGACAUCAGACAAGGCUUGUUUUCACUAAACUAACUGGACACUUGUCAUUCGUAAAUUGACAAUAUAUGUAUAGGACUAUUUCUAGACAAUGUGUUUUGUUUUAUUGAUCUCUAUGUUAAUUCUUACACCAAUUUCACAUUGUCUUUAUUAGAGUUCCUUGACAGAAAGUCUCAAUAUCAGGUAUGAGUCCUUAAUAUUUGUUAUUUUUUAUCAUUGUAAUGGAUAUUUGCAUUUUUUAAUUUUCCCAUUUAAAUGUUGAAAUCAGAUUGUCAAUUUCUGGCAAAAUCAUCAACUGGAAAUGUGGUUUAAAAUAUUUAAAAUCCAUAAAUCAACUUGGGACCAUAUAAAAUGUUAACAUAAUAAAAUUUUUGAUUCAUAAAUGCAACAAAUAUCUUCAUAUAUUUAGUUUUUUCUCAAUUUUCCCAUCAAUUUUUAUAGAUUUUAGUAUACAC